AUGACAAUAGUACACUUUCUUGUACUCCCAAACUCACUCAACCACCGCCGGCUUCCCCCGCUCUCUCUCUCUCCCCGUGUUUGCGCAAAACGUAAACGUAAAGGAUCUCAAUGUCGAUUGGAUAACUUCCAACAGGGUGCACUUUGGCACCCUUAUUCCUCUCUCUAAAACCCUAACCACAUUUUUUCUCUCUCUAACUCCGCAAUGCCAAUGCGAGGGCUCUGCUUUCUCCUCGUUCUCUCCUGUUUUUUUGUCGUCUUCUCUUCUGCUGAUCCGAUACCUGGAGACUCAGAAAAUGCCGUCGUUGUCAAUGCUGCUGAAUUUAAUUCCUCUUCCGUUGCGAGAUCUGAGGAAGGUAGUUUUGCCAACAUGAUUGAUCGAGCUUUGGAAAAGGAGUUCAAUGAGACCGAAGAGCAGCCCGGUGCAAUUGAUCACGGGAGCUUCAACAGUAGUGUCGCAGAGCAAGAGGCAGUUCUGGAAACCGUUGCUAGGGUUGGUAGGGUCAUGUUCAAGAAGAAUGAGACAAAUGAAGAAAAGUCAUUCCAGUUGCACACUGUUUUCAACCUGGAUAAUGACAAUGGAGCAGAAGAUACACCUACUUUGAUAGAUCGAAAGGAUAAUGUCUUUAUCAUGUCUAAUCCGAAGUCAAAGUUUCCAGUGCUGCAGCUAGAUUUAAGAUUGAUAUCUGAUCUGUUUGUUGUCAUUGUUUCUGCAACUUGUGGUGGCAUUGCCUUCGCUUGCGCUGGACAACCGGUUAUCACUGGAUAUUUGCUGGCAGGCUCAAUUAUUGGACCUGGUGGUCUUAACAUUAUCAGUGAAAUGGUGCAGGUUGAAACAGUUGCUCAAUUUGGUGUUAUCUUUCUUCUCUUUGCAUUGGGUUUAGAGUUUUCCACAGCAAAGCUUCGCAUCGUUCGAGCUGUUGCAGUGUUAGGAGGGUCUCUCCAGAUAAUUCUUUUCAUGUGUUUGUGUGGAAUAACAGCCUCGUUAUGCGGUGGGAAAGCAUCUGAGGGUGUUUUUGUUGGUGUCUUCUUAUCAAUGUCUUCGACUGCAGUGGUGUUGAAAUUUUUGAUGGAAAGAAAUAGUGUUAACACCCUCUAUGGGCAAGUAACGGUUGGAAUCCUUAUUCUCCAGGAUUGUACAGUAGGUUUGCUGUUUGCACUGCUUCCGAUUCUUGGUGGUACUUCUGGUGUUUUUCAAGGAAUGGCUUCCAUGGCAAAAUUAUUGGUGGUUUUGCUGAUGUUCUUGACCAUUUUGUCGAUGUUAUGCCGCACUUGCGUACCUUGGUUUCUUAGACUGAUGAUAGGCCUAUCAUCACAGACUAAUGAACUGUACCAACUUGCAUCUGUGGCUUUCUGCUUGCUUGUUGCUGGGUGUAGUGAUAAGCUGGGUUUAAGUCUCGAACUGGGUUCUUUUGCUGCUGGAGUGAUGAUAUCAACUACUGACCUGGCUCAGCAUACUCUUGAACAGGUUGAACCGAUCCGGAACUUCUUUGCUGCUCUUUUCCUAUCCAGCAUUGGAAUGCUUAUCCAUGUUCAUUUUCUCUGGAAUCAUAUCGAUAUUUUGCUGGCAGCUGUUAUAUUGGUCGUCAUCAUAAAAACUAUUGUGGUUGCUGCAGUUGUCAAGGGUUUUGGUUACACCAACAAAGCUGCACUUCUUGUUGGUAUGUCUCUGGCUCAAAUAGGGGAGUUUGCAUUUGUUCUUCUCAGUCAUGCUUCAAAUGUUCAUCUAAUUGAGGGUAAAGUGUAUAUGCUGCUUCUGGGAACAACUGCACUUAGCCUGGUUACAACACCGUUACUUUUCAAGCUAAUUCCUGCUGUAGUUCAUCUUGGAGUUCUACUGCAAUGGUUUUCCCUUGAUAUACCAAAUGAGAUUGGAUCUAAAGGAGAUAUCAUGCGUGCAGACAGUUCUAAGUGUAUUACUGUGCUGAUCCAAGGCCCUCAUGAUUCAUGAUAAUAAAUAGAAACAUGAACAGUAAAGCAAUUCUCACACUUUUACUUGAUGGCAUUCUUAUGCUGGGCGAUAGGUGCCCAAGAGUGCAAAGGCUGUUGAUUGAUUGGAUGAUUGAUCAUCAUGAAGCUCCUUUUAUGCAGCAACAUCAGAUCGUUUUGUUUGAUAUGUGGGAAACUUGUCGCCAUAUGCAGAGCAGUGUAUAGAUCUGUCUGCAAACAUUUUUCUGGCAUUUGUUUCCGGUAUGGUGUUAAUGGACUACUCUGUACAACCUCGUCCAUGUGUAUUGCAAUUGUUUAUAUUCUUUGAUCUCUAGUUUGAGUUUGUGGAAUUAGUGUCUAAAUCAUUUUAAGUUUCAAGUUGAUAAGUGUAAAUAGCUGAUAGUACAUGCUGUUAAAGAAUGUUUAGCGUAUGAAGUCUUACUUUACUGUAUACAGUUGAUCUAUGACCUCCAAUUGUUUCACUAAA